CAUAGACUGCAACGCAGUCUAUGCUUUUUGCCCUCAAGGGCAAAUCUGUGCUGUGCCGGUUGGGUCUGCGUGGAGGUAAACCAGCAGCCAUGGCUGGCUCUGCUUUGAAGAGCCAUCGCCAAGCAAACAGCAGCAGUGACAGAACAUCGUCCCUUUCUCCUCGUGUGGGAGAAUGGGGAAGAUCAGAAAAAGAGAGCUGCAGGGGACAUUAAUUGUAUUGUUUCCAUUUCACUAAGGGUGCAGUCCCAUGUCCACAAUGAACGGACAGAUCCGAGAUGUUUUGCUGAAGAGAUAUUUAAAGGUGUUUAAAAUGAGACAGAAGCUAACAGAAAGCUCCAGACUGCUGAAGGAAAAGAAGAAAGGAAGACACAAGAAAGAAAAUGAGAUGGGAUUUUCCUUAUCUUCCACUCAUCAUAUGACCUCCUGAGCACAUGCGGUAAGCUGGAGCAGCAUGGAAUGAGUCAGAUGUCAGCAGCGGGGACAACUGGAAAUGUUUUACAGUCCAGUGGCAUGAAUACAGCAACCUUGGUGGAAAUUAUUUAUUUUUUACAGUGUAGCUUUGAUGACCCAAAGUUAAUCAAACUGAAGUAACAUUUAUCCCAACCUAACCUUAGCUGCCUAAAAAUUCAGUGUCCAAUCUACGCCACUAGUAAAGGGAAGCCUCACACCGUGGCUCAUCCUGCCUGUGCUGGCUGCCCAUGAUAGUGCAUGCAGAGCCCUCCCCCCCCCCCCACCCUCCUUCUCUUAAAACAAACAUCUUGGCUUAGCCUGCAGAAAGUUGGAAGCACUUAGUCCCCUGCAAACACAGCAACAGACAUAUGCUAAUUACUUUUCACGAAAUAUAUUUUUUUCA